GACGAACGCUGGCGGCGUGCUUAACACAUGCAAGUCGAACGGAAAGGCCCUGCUUUUGUGGGGUGCUCGAGUGGCGAACGGGUGAGUAACACGUGAGUAACCUGCCCUUGACUUUGGGAUAACUUCAGGAAACUGGGGCUAAUACCGGAUAGGAGCUCCUGCUGCAUGGUGGGGGUUGGAAAGUUUCGGCGGUUGGGGAUGGACUCGAGGCUUAUCAGCUUGUUGGUGGAGUAGUGGCUUACCAAGGCUUUGACGGGUAGCCGGCCUGAGAGGGUGACCGGCCACAUUGGGACUGAGAUACGGCGCAGACGCCUACGGGAGGCAGCAGUGGGGAAUAUUGCACAAUGGGCGGAAGCCUGAUGCAGCAACGCCGCGUGCGGGAUGACGGCCUUCGGGUUGUAAACCGCUUUCGACUGUGACGAAGCGUGAGUGACGGUAAUGGGUAAAGAAGCACCGGCUAACUACGUG
rnacentral:rRNA from 1 species